UUUGACGCAGAGCAAUAAGGGACACGCGUGUUCCGAUGAGAGUAUGCGUCGAAUAAGCAUCGGCUAACUCCGUGCCAGCAGCCGCGGUAAUACGGAGGAUGCGAGCGUUAUCCGGAUUUAUUGGGUUUAAAGGGUGCGUAGGCUGUUGGAUAAGUCAGCGGUGAAAUCACCACGCUUAACGUGUUGUGUGCCGUUGAAACUGUCCAGCUUGAAUGCGCUCGUCGUGAGAGGAAUGUGUGGUGUAGCGGUGAAAUGCAUAGAUAUCACACAGAACACCGAUUGCGAAGGCAUCUCACGAGGGCGCUAUUGACGCUGAUGCACGAAAGCGCGGGUAUCGAACAGGAUUAGAUACCCUGGUAGUCCGCGCUGUAAACGAUGAUGACUAACCGUUGGUCUGGUAUGGAUCAGUGGUCAAGCGAAAGCGUUAAGUCAUCCACCUGGGGAGUACGGGCGCAAGGCUGAAACUCAAAGGAAUUGACGGGGGCCCGCACAAGCGGAGGAACAUGUGGUUUAAUUCGAUGAUACGCGAGGAACCUUACC
rnacentral:rRNA from 1 species